rnacentral:rRNA from 1 species
GACGAACGCUGGCGGCGUGCUUAACACAUGCAAGUCGAACGGAAAGGCCCUGCUUUUGUGGGGUGCUCGAGUGGCGAACGGGUGAGUAACACGUGAGUAACCUGCCCUUGACUUUGGGAUAACUUCAGGAAACUGGGGCUAAUACCGGAUAGGAGCUCCUGCUGCAUUGUGGGGGUUGGAAAGUUUCGGCGGUUGGGGAUGGACUCGCGGCUUAUCAGCUUGUUGGUGGGGUAGUGGCUUACCAAGGGUUUGACGGGUAGCCGGCCUGAGAGGGUGACCGGCCACAUUGGGACUGAGAUACGGCCCAGACUCCUACGGGAGGCAGCAGUGGGGAAUAUUGCACAAUGGGCGGAAGCCUGAUGCAGCAACGCCGCGUGCGGGAUGACGGCCUUCGGGUUGUAAACCGCUUUCGCCUGUGACGAAGCGUGAGUGACGGUAAUGGGUAAAGAAGCACCGGCUAACUACGUG